rnacentral:rRNA from 1 species
AAGUCCGACGGUACAGGGUGAUAGUCCCGUACACCAAAAUGCACAGGCUGUGAACUCGAAGAGUAGGGCGGGACACGUGGUAUCCUGUCUGAAUAUGGGGGGACCAUCCUCCAAGGCUAAAUACUCCUGACUGACCGAUAGUGAACCAGUACCGUGAGGGAAAGGCGAAAAGAACCCCGGCGAGGGGAGUGAAAAAGAACCUGAAACCGUGUACGUACAAGCAGUGGGAGCACCUUCGGGUGUGACUGCGUACCUUUUGUAUAAUGGGUCAGCGACUUAUAUUCUGUAGCAAGGUUAACCGUAUAGGGGAGCCGCAGGGAAACCGAGUCUUAACUGGGCGUUAAGUUGCAGGGUAUAGACCCGAAACCCGGUGAUCUAGCCAUGGGCAGGUUGAAGGUUGGGUAACACUAACUGGAGGACCGAACCGACUAAUGUUGAAAAAUUAGCGGAUGACUUGUGGCUGGGGGUGAAAGGCCAAUCAAACCGGGAGAUAGCUGGUUCUCCCCGAAAGCUAUUUAGGUAGCGCCUCGUGAAUUCAUCUUCGGGGGUAGAGCACUGUUUCGGCUAGGGGGUCAUCCCGACUUACCAACCCGAUGCAAACUACGAAUACCGAAGAAUGUUAUCACGGGAGACACACGGCGGGUGCUAACGUCCGUCGUGAAGAGGGAAACAACCCAGACCGCCAGCUAAGGUCCCAAAGUCAUGGUUAAGUGGGAAACGAUGUGGGAAGGCACAGACAGCCAGGAUGUUGGCUUAGAAGCAGCCAUCAUUUAAAGAAAGCGUAAUAGCUCACUGGUCGAGUCGGCCUGCGCGGAAGAUGUAACGGGGCUAAACCAUGCACCGAAGCUGCGGCAGCGACACUAUGUGUUGUUGGGUAGGGGAGCG